GUGGGGAAUAUUGGACAAUGGGCGAAAGCCUGAUCCAGCCAUGCCGCGUGUGUGAAGAAGGUCUUCGGAUUGUAAAGCACUUUAAGUUGGGAGGAAGGGCAGUAAGUUAAUACCUUGCUGUUUUGACGUUACCGACAGAAUAAGCACCGGCUAACUUCGUGCCAGCAGCCGCGGUAAUACGAAGGGUGCAAGCGUUAAUCGGAAUUACUGGGCGUAAAGCGCGCGUAGGUGGUUUUGUAAGUUGGAGGUGAAAUCCCCGGGCUCAACCUGGGAACUGCCUACAAAACUGCAUGACUAGAGUACGGUAGAGGGUAGUGGAAUUUCCUGUGUAGCGGUGAAAUGCGUAGAUAUAGGAAGGAACACCAGUGGCGAAGGCGACUACCUGGACUGAUACUGACACUGAGGUGCGAAAGCGUGGGGAGCAAACAGGAUUAGAAACCCCAGUAGUCC
rnacentral:rRNA from 1 species